AUUGAACGCUGGCGGCAGGCCUAACACAUGCAAGUCGAACGGAUGAAGGGAGCUUGCUCCUGGAUUCAGCGGCGGACGGGUGAGUAAUGCCUAGGAAUCUGCCUGGUAGUGGGGGAUAACGUCCGGAAACGGGCGCUAAUACCGCAUACGUCCUGAGGGAGAAAGUGGGGGAUCUUCGGACCUCACGCUAUCAGAUGAGCCUAGGUCGGAUUAGCUAGUUGGUGGGGUAAAGGCCUACCAAGGCGACGAUCCGUAACUGGUCUGAGAGGAUGAUCAGUCACACUGGAACUGAGACACGGUCCAGACUCCUACGGGAGGCAGCAGUGGGGAAUAUUGGACAAUGGGCGAAAGCCUGAUCCAGCCAUGCCGCGUGUGUGAAGAAGGUCUGCGGAUUGUAAAGCACUUUAAGUUGGGAGGAAGGGCAGUAAGUUAAUACCUGGCUGUUUGGACGUUACCAACAGAAUAAGCACCGGCUAACUUCGU
rnacentral:rRNA from 1 species